UACGUAGGUGGCAAGCGUUGUCCGGAUUUACUGGGCGUAAAGAGCGCGCAGGCGGUCGUUCAAGUCGCGUGUGAAAGCCCCCGGCUCAACUGGGGAGGGUCACGCGAUACUGAUCGACUCGAAGGCAGGAGAGGGAAGUGGGAAUUCCCGGUGUAGUGGUGAAAUGCGUAGAUAGUCGGGAGAACACCAGUGGCGAAGGCGACUUCCUGGCCUGUUCUUGACGCUGAGGCGCGAAAGCUAGGGGAGCAAACGGG
rnacentral:rRNA from 1 species